rnacentral:rRNA from 1 species
UGGGGAAUAUUGCACAAUGGGCGCAAGCCUGAUGCAGCGACGCCGCGUGGGGGAUGACGGCCUUCGGGUUGUAAACUCCUUUCGCUAGGGACGAAGCUUUUUGUGACGGUACCUAGAUAAGAAGCACCGGCNAANUACGUGCCAGCAGCCGCGGUAAUACGUAGGGUGCGAGCGUUGUCCGGAAUUACUGGGCGUAAAGGGCUCGUAGGUGGUUUGUCGCGUCGUCUGUGAAAUUCCGGGGCUUAACUCCGGGCGUGCAGGCGAUACGGGCAUAACUUGAGUACUGUAGGGGUAACUGGAAUUCCUGGUGUAGCGGUGAAAUGCGCAGAUAUCAGGAGGAACACCGAUGGCGAAGGCAGGUUACUGGGCAGUUACUGACGCUGAGGAGCGAAAGCAUGGGUAGCGAACAGGAUUAGAUACCCUGGUAGUCCAUGCCGUAAACGGUGGGCGCUAGGUGUGAGGGUCUUUUCACGACUUUCGUGCCGUAGCUAACGCAUUAAGCGCCCCGCCUGGGGAGUACGGCCGCAAGGCUA